CCAUUCUUUAACAUCUGGACUUUUAAUUGAUAGAAUUACAAUCAAGGACAGGGGUCAAUUAAUAUAAGAAGAAUCCAUGUCCUGGCUGUGUUUUUCAGGCAACAUUUUCAAAAGUGCAGAGGAAGGUUAAGACUGACGAGGACUUCUAAGGAUGGAGUCCCUCUCUCAUUCCACUACGGUAAUGAGAAGAAUGCACGGCAGAAGAUGAGACUGACCUCAAUCUGUCAACAAGACUGUGGAGAGUAAGGAUUAACUGCUGUCUAUCCUAAAAUUGAUGG